rnacentral:rRNA from 1 species
CCCUUAGACGUUCUGGGCCGCACGCGCGCUACACUGACCAGUGCAACAAGCAUCCGUCCUUGGCCGACAGGCUCGGGCAAUCUUUGAACGCUGGUCGUGAUGGGGAUAGACUUUUGCAAUUUUUGGUCUUCAACGAGGAAUUCCUAGUAAACGCAAGUCAACAACUUGCAUUGAUUACGUCCCUGCCCUUUGUACACACCGCCCGUCGCACCUACCGAUUGAAUGGUCCGGUGAAGCCUCCGGAUUGGCGCGCACCUCGGUGCCGCCGAGAAGUUGGCUAAACCUUACCAUUUAGAGGAAGGUGAAGUCGUAACA